rnacentral:rRNA from 1 species
GACGAACCGAGCGAACGUUGUUCGGAAUCACUGGGCUUAAAGGGUGCGUAGGCGGCGCUGCAAGUGCCUUGUGAAAUCCCAUCGCUUAACGAUGGAACUGCUCGGUAGACUGCAGUGCUUGAGGUUGGUAGGGGCUGCCGGAACUCUAGGUGGAGCGGUGAAAUGCGUAGAUAUCUAGAGGAACGCCCAAGGCGAAGGCAGGCAGCUGGGCCAAUUCUGACGCUGAGGCACGAAAGCGUGGGGAGCAAACGGG